ACACGUAGGAGGCUAGCGUUAUCCGGAUUUACUGGGCGUAAAGCGCGUGUAGGCGGCUCGGAAAGUUGGAUGUGAAAGCUCCUGGCUUAACUGGGAGAGGUCGUUCAAUACUUCCGGGCUUGAGAGUGGUAGAGGGAGGUGGAAUUCCGAGUGUAGUGGUGAAAUGCGUAGAUAUUCGGAGGAACACCAGUGGCGAAAGCGGCCUCCUGGACCAUUUCUGACGCUCAGACGCGAAAGCUAGGGUAGCAAACGGGAUUAGAGACCCCGGUAGUCCUAGCUGUAAACGAUGUAGACUUGGCGUCGGCGGGUUCAAAUCCGUCGGUGCCGAAGCUAACGCGAUAAGUCUACCGCCUGGGGACUACGGCCGCAAGGUUAAA
rnacentral:rRNA from 1 species